GCUGGGUGUGGUGGAGUGUGCUUGUAAUCCCAGCAGCUCAGGAGGCUGAGGCAGGAGGAUCACGAGUUCAAAGCCAGGCUCAGCAACAGUGAGGUGCUAAGGAACUCAGUGAGACCCUGUCUCUA
rnacentral:sRNA from 1 species